CAGCAUUACCACGCUGGAAUCGCUGUAUGGCAAUAGGCAGCCUUUACACCAGAAACGAAUAAGAGCGGGGGGGUCUUCCCCCUUUUGUCGAAGACGAUUAAAAUGACGAACAUCAUAAUUAAACUCAAUUAUUAUUUAUAGUAUUUUAUAGGUUGUGAUAAAUCAUUUGAUUGGUGUAUUAUAUCACAGAGAAUUGAUUGGAAUGUAUAUGUGUACUAAUGUACAUGUGAAUAUAUCAAUAUAUCUUUGGUGUAUAUCGAAAGAAUUCAAUUCAAUAUCAAAGAUGCCAUACGUGGUUCCUUCCAAGGUUCAGUCGAUUCUAAAAGCAUUAAACACUAUGAGUGUAUGGUAAAUUAUACAGAAUUUCUUAUCUAUUAUUGCAUAUUUGCCUUUUUUAUAUAAAUUUAUAUAUUUUGUAUUGUAUUACCUAAUAUUUUUAACCUAAGGCUUACCUAAGCCAUGAAAAGUUGCAUAUGUAACAGUUGAAUAUGAUAGAAGUUUUGGAAUGAAUUCAAGGUGCAGAAAUAAUUGUGUUAUACCUGUUUUAACAACCCUUAUUAGUUUUACAAACAUGAACUUUUUUAUUAACUAAUAGACUUCAUUUAAAUGAGUUUAUGACUUCGACAUUCGACAUUUUAUAUUAUACUGAGGUCCCUAGCGACUUUCAUUAAUUGAUUGCCACUGCGACAAGGUGCGAAAUGGUACUGAAAUUAUUUUUUUUGACUGUACUUAAAUUCAGUUGUUACAAAGAUAUCUUCAAUUUAAAUAUUCUAUUCCGGUACUGUUUGCUUCCAACAUUUCAAUGUGCCAAUUUCAGUCAUCUUCCUUUGUAAUAAGGUUCCAAAUUGAGUAGCCAUAGUCUUGUGUUCAUUUGAUGGGCACAGUUGGGUUAGGUUCGUGUUUUAUUAAUCAAACCAUGACUUAUAUACUUACAUCUAAUGAACGAGAAAUGCCAUAAAAAUAUACUUUAUUUGCUUGAAUAUAGAACCUAUUUGCUAAUACUAUCGAGUGAGCCUAUAACAGAGUACGUACCUACGCCAUUCUUGACGUCAUAGUAAUAGUUGUUCAAUAUGACCUACAUGAAACGGGGCUAUAACCGCGAAAAUCGAAGUUCGCAUAUUGCGGGCAUCUAUUUAUGUCUCUCUAAUAACGACUUCAUUGAAGUAAAAGAGAAAGAUCCCCGCAAUUUGCGAAUUUCGGUUUUCGCGGUAGCCCCACAGAUGUCAGACUCAACAAAGUCACUCUGUAUAAGCGGAUAAAUCCUCAGCACGCGCGUUUACGGCGCAUGUAUUAUUAACUAACUCAAGUACUUGUAUGUAGGUAUACAUUGGUAAAUCUGUCACUGCUCAACUCGUGCUAACCGUGCUGUCGGCGUGUGAAAACAUUUACCAUUGUAUGAUAGUAUGACGUCAAACCUUAGCGUCAAACAUUGAGAUUAAUCGAGCUUGUCGAAGGUUACAUAGGCGAAUAGAAAUAGUGUAUUGACUGACAAUAUAUAUUAGUUGUGUUGAGUUGACAAUGCAGUGUAUUGUGAUCUCGAACUAAGCUAACGUCACUUGUGACUUUGUAAUUGAUGUAACGGACUUUUAACCUUGGUGUCCUAGUUAAUAGUUUUACAGUUUGAACGGAGACCAUCAUGCAUAGACAUUGUGAAAUCAGGACCAUAAUAGUUUUUGAACUUUAAUUUAAUAAAAAAUCACACGCUGCACGUAAGCUUCGGUAGCUUAGUUGGCCAAGAACAUUUAGACCGGUGUUCCAAAAGGUCGCAAGUUCGAGUCUUGCCCGUAGCGGUGUUUUUUUUCGUUUAAUUUAAAAACUUUGUAUUUAAAUCAUGGGUGAUGGAUAAGAUGUAAACAAUUUGAAAAAAAUGCUACAAUUCAUGCAAAUUAAGUAUAGGGUGUCAGAAAUUAUGCAAAAUUGAACCCCUAUCUUUGAAACCAAGUUGAAAAUAAUGUGGGAAAUAUAUUCCCUCUGCCUUGAGCCAUUGCUUAAGAGCUACAAAGCCAAUGCAAUUGAUUAAUCGUAAUACGUAAGAACCCUCUGGGGAAUGUAAUUAGCGAUAAAUGUCGGCACUACUUAAAAAAAAACUCGUAUCUUGUUCUGUCAAUCAAAAGAAAAAUGUGGUGUACAGUCGAGGACAUAAAUAUGUAUACAUUUUUUCACCUUAUUUCAAUGGGUUAAGGUGAAGAAAUGUAUACAUAUUUAUGUCCUCGACUGUACCUAUCUAUGUAUGGGCUGCAUACAGAGUUAGGUAUUGCCUUUCAACUGAGUAUCAGUGUGAGUUACGUGAUUUUUGCAAAUUAGUCAUCACGAUGUGUGUAAUUUACGUUACAGCUAUGUGUUUUAUAUAUAUAUGAGGCGGUAGAAAAAUUAUCGAAAGCGUUUAACAUUGAUUGUGUUGGUUUUGUAGUUUCUGGUUAUACUGUAUAGACAAUUAUCGAAGUGAGUUGACGUUAGUUACCGCAUCGCUUUGUGGCACCAUCGAAAUCGGGAACGCCGUAAUAUGCAGCUUUUUUACCCGAAUAUUACAAUCGUUUGUCUAGUAGCCCGGGAGGCAUAGGCUUCAAUUAGCAACUUUCAGAAAGUAUUUAAAAUUAAAUGAUUAUGUUGCAGUCAAAAGUGUGAACUGGUCAAAAGAACUUUUAACCGACAAAAACAGGCAAAACUGCUUUUGACUGAGCAUGUUGGUCAAAAGUAGUUUUACCUGAAAAUCAUACCUAUUUCUGGCAGCAGUUUCGUUUUUAGGGCGUAGCAAAAAAAAAAUAACCCUAACCGACCUAUCUCUGGGAACAGUUUCGUUUUUUGGGCGUAGCAAAAAAAAAUAACCCUAACCUACCUAUUUCUGGGAGUACUUUUGACUGAUAGUAACAGUCACAAUUAAUUUAACCAAUGAAUUUCAGGUAAAACUACUUUUGACCAACAUGCUCAGUCAAAAGCAGUUUUGCCUGUUUUUGUCGGUUAAAAGUUCUUUUGACCAGUUCACACUUUUGACUGCGACAAUUACACCUUUCCAAGUUUCCAUAAUUUGUAACUGCGAAUGUUUAACUAAAGAUCACGCUAAUUUUCUUGACGGUCUGAAGAAACCGUUGUGUUCUCAAUUUCUUUGGUGCGAUGUCGUGUCGCGCCGGGUUUAGGUGGUUUGUCUUAUAAAAUACUUAUGACCUCGAUUCGUUUUUGUAAUGCAUUAAUUUGUAAAUAGCGCUUUUGAUGGUAGAACUGCAAUUAUUAUGAAAAUUAAUGGAGAUCGUGUUUUCUUUAUUUACAUGCAUUUAAUGUUAUAUGAGGUACAGUCACUUGCACAACGAAGUGCACAAUAAUACAUUACGAUACGAGUGCGAAAAGUAGGAAAUUCGCAACGAGCGGCGAUAAAUUAAAACUACCGAAAGAAGUGUUUUAAAUCGACACGAGUUGCGAAUUAACUAUUCGCACGCGUAUGGUACAACGUUUUACAGUACAUAUGGCCCUUUCGACAUAUGCACGUAAAGCGCUAAUUAACGCACUAGUGCGGUAAAGUAACACCAUAUGUACUACACGCUCUUUAUGGUUCUACAAUCUACAAAUACCUGAGAUUGUGUCAGAUAUUUUUGCACGCUUCGCUGUGUAAGAUAUAAUGCAGGUGAUUGUACAGUGGGCUGCCCACUGUGGGCAUCAACUAAUAUGCGUAAUGUUAAUUUAGUUAUUUACUUUUAUUUUAUACUUAACCUAUUCAAUGUAAUUCUUCCUAUAACAAUGUUACUUUCAGGAGUCACAAGCCAACUGCAUCAUGUGGGUUAACCGAUGCCGUCGGAAAGUUAUCAAAAUUGAGAAUUUUCCACAUUGAACAAUUCCGGAAACUUCUGGAGAUCGAAAUUUUCCGUUUCCAAAAUGAAAGUCCUUUUUUCCCUAUGAAUUUUUCCUGAAAUAUCCGAGAUACUUUUCCAACUUUUUUUAAACUUUCCGCAAGUCGCGCGGCUUCUGUAGCUGGGUUACUUUGACAACAUAAGUCAGAGGUGGGUCAUAAGAUAUGACUCAUAACAGAUUAAGAUGAUUAUGAGCUAUGCGUGUUCAAUUGAAAUUGAACACGCAUACCUCGUAUAGCUGUACUUGGCAUUAGUCAAAAGCUUAAGUUUUGACUGGCAAGUUUACUUGGAACAGGCAAUAAUAUUGUAAAAGCUAAGGAUUACUAACACAAUGGAUUGCAAAGCAAUAUUUGUGUGGAUUGUACGAAUAAGUAAGUUGUGAAGAAUUUAUGCGCUAAUAGCAAUUAGCGCAUAAAUACGGCUUUAUUAGACAACUUGAGAAUUUUAUUACACUGGUGUGGACGCGGCAUUAAUAUUAAAAUUAUCUUCGCAAUUUGUUAUCGGGAUGCCAUUUUAGGUUCAACUAAGUUGUUACCACUGGUAACUACUGGAAAUUUGUUUCCCACCUUUUACUACUGGUAACUGGGGAAAAAAUCCCACCUUUUAGUGGUGAAGGGUGGGAAAAAUAUUCCCAGUAGUAACAACUUGGUGGUAACUAGUGGCAAUAACCCAGUUUUAGGAUCUUCUCCAUCAAUAUGUCAAACGAAAGUGACGUAGCCUGAGAAGACAAUAGCAAAACCACGAAGUGAUUUUUGCCUUUAUAGUGUAUCCAAUCCCUUGUCAACGAGCAGGGUAGUACUUAUGAUGAUGAUGAAUAAGUUAACAAUUUUUCACACCAGUGUGGAUGCAUCAUAAUAUCAAUCCACAAACUUCAAUUGUAGAUUGGCCUUAUUCGUAAUGAAGUUGUUACUUAUAUUUUGUAGGAAAUGUACAGAAUGAAAUGGCUUUUUCUAAAAUGUAUGUGUAAAUAGUAAUAAAGUAUAUUGAUAUCC